AAUACAAUGACUGAGUUAUAUGGUAAUCAUGUUUUAUAAGAAAUUGAUAAACUGUUUUCUAAAGAGACUAUACUAUUUUACAUUCCCACCAGAAU
rnacentral:pre_miRNA from 1 species